rnacentral:tRNA from 1 species
GAAAAUGUAGUGAAGUUCACAUUAUUAUUUCAUGAUAAAAAUGAUAGAUAAAUUUAUCUUCA